UGAAAACCCACACACAUGAACUCUAACCACUACACCACCAAGGGAUAGCGAUGGCACACGUGUAGCCAAAAGGUAGAAGAGAACCCACACCUUCUGGAACACCAUCGUUGACAUGAACUCUAACUGAAAAUCUUUUUGGUUAAACAUAUUUAUCCUUUUUAACUGUCACCAAAGGGGGGGGGGAAACCCACAAGGGGGAUUUGAACCAUCAACUACAACAAUGGGAGGCAAGUGCAUUCCCACAGAGCCACAAGGCUUCACCUACCUUAGUGUUUAUCCUGAAUACCAUUGUCCAAUAACCCACAAGUAAUCCAGUGCUUGUUAAGGUUUUGCCUUCUGCAUGACCCAUAGGAGCAGGUUUGUGUUUGUACUGGUGGCUCAGCGAGCAGGGAGGCAUGCAUUUCAGAAUGAUGACUGUGGUUCAAGGUUGGGUGCUUUCAAUGAUUAAGAGAGCCAUUACUUGAUAAACAUGUUUUUAUGUACUCCCUGAUAAUGCUUUCGAAAUCCUAACAGUUCCAAACUCCUAUUAUACAUUUUCCUGUGACUAUUAAGAAUAGUAAAAGGUGGAAUUGAAGCAGAGUCCCAUUAGAUGACCUAAUCCCUUUUUUUUUUAAAUCAUAAAAACAUUUACACACCAAUAACCUAUGGGAGCCAUGGUCAUUAUUGUUUAACCAUAAAAAAGGAUACCGUCUUCAGGAGCUCCGCAUCAGCAAAUAUGACACAUUAUGAAAAAUAUUAACAGUGUCAAGUUAGCAUCUCAAUUCGUGAUGAUUCCCAGCCUAUGAAGAUUUACCAGCUCCUUUUUCAGGAUUCAUCAGGUCAGUCUUCUCUCUGGAAGUGUCUCACACUUUAAAGAGGGCAUGUAGAAUUCCCUGUCCGGACAGCCAUGACCUGUAACGACAUCUCUAUACUCUGCUAUUAUUUGUUCUGUUGUCCAUUUUCCAUAAGAAAACCGUUCAGUAGUGAUCAUACGGUCGAUAUCUUUGAUUAACAAGCCAUCGAUAUAAUUUUCUCAGUCCAACUACAGGUAAGUUUUUUGGUAUUCACCGAGCCUAAUACCGAAAUCUGUAACCUACUUUGUAUUAAGCAAUAAUAAGGGCAUCAUGGAACAUUCUCUGGGUGUGUCUGAACCAGCUCCCUAGUUCAGUAUUCAGGGCACUGAUCGAUGGUUGAACUAAUGAACAAAUUCAAAAAGACUGGAAGUGUUGCGGACCGACCUGGAAGUGGACCUCCAUGAACUUCCACUGCCGAAGGCACAACCUACGUGUUGCUGGCAAACAUAUUCAGUCCCUUGUGUAUGGAGACUUUUGGGACACCCUGUACAGUUGUAGUCAAAAUUAUUAUUCGACCCCCACUGCAUAUCAGAUUCAUUGUCAAAAUUUAAAGACUUUCCGCUGUUUGUAACGAACAAAUCAAACAGAAGGAAUUGAAACAGACUUCAUAUAAAAACCACAAUGAACUUCCCUUUACUUUCACACUAUGCAUUGUUACCCAGAUGAGGACGUGUUCCCUUCGGAGUUUAUCCCUUCGGGAUAAAUUCACACGGUUAAAAUCUGUGUCCUGUGUUUAUAUGUUUCUGUAAAGCUUCUUUGAAACAAUACCCAUUGUAAAAACCACUAUACAAAUAAAAUUUAAUUGAAAAUAGUUA
ensembl:lncRNA